CACGUAGUUAGCCGGAGCUUAUUCUACAGGUACUGUCUUGUUUCUUCCCUGUCUAAAGCAGUUUACAAUCCGAAAACCUUCUUCCUGCACGCGGCGUCACUGCAUCAGAGUUCCCUCCAUUGUGCAAUAUUCCCGACUGCUGCCUCCCGUAGGAGUCUGGGCCGUAUCUCAGUCCCAAUGUGGCCGUUCAACCUCUCAGUUCGGCUACUGAUCGUCGACUUGGUAGGCCUUUACCCCACCAACUAUCUAAUCAGACGCAAGCCCAUCUGUUAGCGGAUUUCUCCUUUCCCAUAAGUACCAUGUGGUACUUAUGGCAUAUGCGGUAUUAGCAAUGAUUUCUCACUGUUAUUCCCCUCUAACAGGCAGGUUGCUUACGUGUUACUCACCAGUCCGCCACUAACCGCUUCCAAAUGUAAACAUUCGAAUUAAGUUCGUUCGACUUGCAUGUCUUAUGUGCGCCGCCAGCGUUACUCUCUGCACGAGUACUACUAAC
rnacentral:rRNA from 1 species